rnacentral:tRNA from 1 species
CUUUUAGUAGCUAAGAAUAAGCGUUAGACUUUUAUUCUAAAGAUGAAUAGAUUCCUGAAAGA